rnacentral:snoRNA from 1 species
UCCCAUCCUUCGUUGUCCGUCUUGACUCCCAGAAGCACAUUGACUUCUCCCUCACCUCUCCUCUUGGUGGUGGCCGCCCUGGUCGCGUUAAGCGCAAGAAGAUGAGAGCGGCCGAGAAGGGUGAUGACGAGGAGGAGGAGGAA